rnacentral:rRNA from 1 species
UAGGGAAUCUUCCGCAAUGGGCGAAAGCCUGACGGAGCAACGCCGCGUGAGUGAAGAAGGAUCUCGGUUCGUAAAGCUCUGUUGUUAGGGAAGAAUGAUUGUAUAGUAACUAUAUACAGUAGAGACGGUACCUAACCAGAAAGCCACGGCUAACUACGUGCCAGCAGCCGCGGUAAUACGUAGGUGGCAAGCGUUGUCCGGAAUUAUUGGGCGUAAAGCGCGCGCAGGUGGUUUAAUAAGUCUGAUGUGAAAGCCCACGGCUCAACCGUGGAGGGUCAUUGGAAACUGUUAAACUUGAGUGCAGGAGAGAAAAGUGGAAUUCCUAGUGUAGCGGUGAAAUGCGUAGAGAUUAGGAGGAACACCAGUGGCGAAGGCGGCUUUUUGGCCUGUAACUGACACUGAGGCGCGAAAGCGUGGGGAGCAAACAGGAUUAGAUACCCUGGUAGUCCACGCCGUAAACGAUGAGUGCUAAGUGUUGGUCUCAUAAGAGAUCAGUGCUGCAGCUAACGCAUUAAGCACUCCGCCUGGGGAGUACGACCGCAAGGUUG